AUUGAACGCUGCGGCAUGCCUUACACAUGCAAGUCGAACGGCAGCGCGGACUUCGGUCUGGCGGCGAGUGGCGAACGGGUGAGUAAUGCAUCGGAACGUACCUUUCAGUGGGGGAUAACGUAUCGAAAGUUACGCUAAUACCGCAUAUUCUGUGAGCAGGAAAGCAGGGGAUCGCAAGACCUUGCGCUGAUUGAGCGGCCGAUGUCAGAUUAGCUAGUUGGUGAGGUAAAGGCUCACCAAGGCGACGAUCUGUAGCGGGUCUGAGAGGAUGAUCCGCCACACUGGGACUGAGACACGGCCCAGAGUCCUACGGGAGGCAGCAGUGGGGAAUUUUGGACAAUGGGGGCAACCCUGAUCCAGCCAUGCCGCGUGAGUGAAGAAGGCCUUCGGGUUGUAAAGCUCUUUCGGCCGGGAAGAAAUCGCAUGGGUUAAUACCCUGUGUGGAUGACGGUACCGGAAUAAGAAGCACCGGCUAACUACGUGCCAGCCGCCGCCGUAA
rnacentral:rRNA from 1 species